rnacentral:ncRNA from 1 species
GUCGGGAGUGGACUAAUACAAGACCCGCAAGGGGAAUACGUCCGGCCUUCUACUUGAGGUUUCUUAACCCCCGACACCUAGCC